GGGUUUUCAUUUUUAAUUUUUUUUGUGUACCCAUACAUAUACGUAUACGUGUACUGCAUACAUACUAGAGCACCUGAUGGUGCUUGUCGUCGUCGAUUCUUUUGACCGAUUUGAAGUUUGGUAGGGUGUAAUAGCACUUACUUUUGAGUUUUCCACAUUGAGUUGAUUCGGUGUAAUAGGAGUCAAAUUUGAGUUUCUUAUGAUGGUUGUUCAUGAUC
rnacentral:sRNA from 1 species